rnacentral:rRNA from 1 species
GGUGGGCACUCUAGAAUGACUGCCGGUGACAAACCGGAGGAAGGCGGGGAUGACGUCAAAUCAUCAUGCCCCUUAUGACCUGGGCUACACACGUACUACAAUGGCCGUUACAACGGGAAGCGAAGGAGCGAUCUGGAGCGAAUCCUAAAAAGGCGGUCUCAGUUCGGAUUGCAGGCUGCAACUCGCCUGCAUGAAGUCGGAAUUGCUAGUAAUCGCGGAUCAGCAUGCCGCGGUGAAUACGUUCCCGGGUCUUGUACACACCGCCCGUCACACCACGAGAGUUUACAACACCCGAAGCCGGUGGGGUAACCGCAAGGAGCCAGCCGUCGAAGGUGGGGUAGAUGAUUGGGGUGAAGUCGUAACAAGGUAGCCGUAUCGGAAGGUGCGGCUGGAUCACCUCCUUU